UUCAUCGCUUUUAAACACAUU
rnacentral:piRNA from 1 species